rnacentral:rRNA from 1 species
AACGAACGCUGGCGGCAUGCCUAACACAUGCAAGUCGAACGAGACCUUCGGGUCUAGUGGCGCACGGGUGCGUAACGCGUGGGAACCUGCCCUUAGGUUCGGAAUAACUCCCCGAAAGGGGUGCUAAUACCGGAUAAUGUCUUCGGACCAAAGAUUUAUCGCCUUUGGAUGGGCCCGCGUUGGAUUAGCUAGUUGGUAGGGUAAAAGCCUACCAAGGCGACGAUCCAUAGCUGGUCUGAGAGGAUGAUCAGCCACACUGGGACUGAGACACGGCCCAGACUCCUACGGGAAGCAGCGGUGGGGAAUAGUGGACAAUGGGCGAAAGCCUGAUCCAGCAAUGCCGCGUGAGUGAUGAAGGCCUUAGGGUUGUAAAGCUCUUUUACCCGGGAUGAUAAUGACAGUACCGGGAGAAUAAGCUCCGGCUAACUCCGUG